UUGGAGGGCAAGUCUGGUGCCAGCAGCCGCGGUAAUUCCAGCUCCAAUAGCGUAUAUUAAAGUUGUUGCAGUUAAAAAGCUCGUAGUUGAAUUUCGGAAUCCAUCCGUCGGUCGGGCCUCACGGUCCGCACUGGUGUGAUGGAUUCCUACCUUCUGAAUGACCAGCAUGCCAUUAAUUUGGUGCGUUGGGGAAGCAGGACUGUUACCUUGAAAAAAUUAGAGUGCUUAAAGCAGGCUAGUGCCUGAAUACAUUAGCAUGGAAUAAUGAAAUAGGACGGCAUGGUUCUAUUUUGUUGGUUUCUAGGAUCACCGUAAUGAUUAAUAGGGAUAGUUGGGGGCAUUAGUAUUCAAUUGUCAGAGGUGAAAUUCUUGGAUUUAUUGAAGACUAACUUCUGCGAAAGCAUUUGCCAAGGAUGUUUUCAUUAAUCAAGAACGAAAGUUAGGGGAUCGAAGACGAUCAGAUACCGUCGUAGUCUUAACCAUAAACUAUGCCGACUAGGGAUCGGACGAUGUUAAUUUUUUAAUGACUCGUUCGGCGCCUUACGGGAAAC
rnacentral:rRNA from 1 species